UCGUAGCAAACUAAGAAUACUAGGCAUUGCUUUCCGUUAACCAGUGAGACGGUGGGGGAUAAGCUUCAUCGUCGAAAGGGAAACAGCCCAGAUCACCAGCUAAGGCCCCAAAAUGACCGCUAAGUGGCAAAGGAGGUAGGAAUGCUGAAACAACCAGGAGGUUUGCCUAGCAGCAGCCAUCCUUUAAAGAGUGCGUAAUAGCUCACUGGUAGAGCGUUCUUGCGCCGAAAAUGAACGGGACUAAGCGGUCUGCCGAAGCUGUGGGUAAGACUUAUUAAAAGGUAUAAGAUAUAAAAAGCUUGUAAAAUUUCUAAUUUCUAAUAUUAAAGAUUUCUUUUAAUUUGAAAGGAAACCUUUUUUUGAUCUUACGGUAGGGGAGCGUUCCGCUCUAGGGUGAAGCUCCAACGUAAGUUGGUGUGGACAAAGCGGAAGUGAGAAUGUCGGCUUGAGUAACGAAAACAUUGGUGAGAAUCCAAUGCCCCGAAAACCUAAGGCUUCCUCCACAAGGCUCGUCCAUGGGGGGUUAGUCGGGACCUAAGGCCAGGCCGAAAGGCGUAGUCGAUGGAAAACAGGUUAAUAUUCCUGUACUAAUUUGAUAGUGGUACCGAGGGACGAAGAAGGGAACAGUUGGUCAAUAUUGGAUGUUGGCGGAAACGUCCAAGGUGAUGAAAGAUAGAAUAAAAACUCUUCUUGAGCUGAGGCGUAACACGGUUUGAUUCCCUGAAGAAUAGUAUUGUUCAAAAUGAAACUCAACUAGUUGUCAUACUUCCUAGAAAAGCUCGAACUUCCAAUACUAAAAGAUUACCCGUACCCGAAACCGACACAGGUAGGUAGG
rnacentral:rRNA from 1 species